AUGGCCGUAACUCAACUGGUCUGAGCGUCGGAGUAACAAUCUGGAAGUCGCGAGUUCGAAUCCCGCCGACCUUC
rnacentral:tRNA from 1 species